AGGCCGGCUGGCCGCAGGGGAACCUUUCCUCUCCGGGUUCAGGGUCCGGGAGCAAACCCCGAGCUGCGGCAAAAAGGGCUGGUAGGCUCUCCUGCACCCCCGCUUGCUCCCCCGCCUUCCCUGUGUCCCCCGGCUUUUCCAGGAGGAAGAUGGGGUACCCAGCGGGGGUGGGGCGCGCCGGGCCGCGGAGCCGGGCUGUCACGUGCCCCCCUCUCCCCACACCCCCCGCCACUGCGGCGGGAGUUCCAAUCAGAGCGCGCCAGGGGGCUCCUCCCGGGCAGGAACCACCCGGCUCGGCGGCGGAGGGUGGGCCGCCGUCACCUGACCGCCCGCCCCCGCCCCCCGCGAGUAAGGGGCGGUGGUAGCGUCUGCUCGGUUACAAAUGGCCCCUCCCGCCCCGCUCGCCCGCUCGCUCGGGCUCGGCGCGGACCCGCCCGGGAGCGCUCCUCCCGCCGGCUGCCGGCGUCCCGCCGCCCUGCCCGGAGCCGGCCGGCGGUCCCCGCCAACCCCCGAGGGCGCUCCUGGCACCCAGCACGGAGGCUUGCCCGCGGAGGUCGCGCCGGGAGACUGGACCGCGGUAGCGCGCGGCUUGCCUUCCCGCAGGUGAACUUUGAUAUGGUGGACGGUGACUCUUCUCCUGCAUGCGAGUGGUGGUUCAAACCGUUUCUGAUUAGCAGUAAAAGAGAAAUGCAAAGGUUGCUGAGAAAACGGGAUUAUUUGAGAACUAGCCAGUUGCAGCGACUCAACAGUAUAUGAUUAUAGGGGAGCUAUGGAUUUUAAUAAUACCUUUCCUCUAAACGCAAGGCUGACUGAUCCCUUCAAGAGCGGCCUUCUUGAGCAGCAUUGUUCAAUGGAACUUUCUGCAAUGACAGGAAUGUUUGCUUUCCGCACCACCGGGUACAGAGCCACACGCCAUGUGGAGCUACUGAGCGCUUGAAGGUGGCUAGUGUGACUCAGAAACUGACCUUCAAAACCUUAUUUGAUUUUAAUUAAAAUGUAAAUUAAAAAGCCACAUGUAGCUGGGGCUGCAUGUAUUG
rnacentral:lncRNA from 1 species